rnacentral:rRNA from 1 species
UGGGGAAUAUUGGGGCAAUGGGCGCAAGCCUGACCCAGCAACGCCGCGUGAAGGAAGAAGGCUUUCGGGUUGUAAACUUCUUUGACAGGGGAAGAUAAUGACGGUACCCUGAAAACAAGCUCCGGCUAACUACGUGCCAGCAGCCGCGGUGAUACGUAGGGGAGCAAGCGUUAUCCGGAAUUACUGGGUGUAAAGGGCGCGUAGGCGGGUCUACAAGUCAGAUGUGAAAUGCCAGGGCUUAACCUCGGAGCUGCAUUUGAAACUGUAGGUCUUGAGUGAUGAAGAGGCAGGGCGGAAUUCCCGGUGUAGCGGUGGAAUGCGUAGAUAUCGGGGAGGAACACCAGUGGCGAAGGCGGCCUGCUGGACAUUAACUGACGCUGAGGCGCGAAAGCGUGGGGAGCAAACAGGAUUAGAUACC